AGCCUCCGUGGGCGGAGCUCUCGGCGCACCCCCUCUUUUGCCCUGCCCUCCUUCUCUUUCCACCCACCCACCCCGACACCCCUCGUCCCUCCCCCAACCACCCUGAACGGAUAGACAGGUGAGCAGGUGCAUGGGGACCAAUGCCAGACCCUGGGGCAAGCUGGUAGAGGCAGGGCGGGUAGUGGCUUCCUUGUACUUUUUCCCUUGAGGGUGGAUUCUCCCUGUGGGGAAGGACACGGUGAGUGUGUGUCUUGUCUUCUCUGCCUCCUCCUCCUUCCUUCAAUAUCCUUUUGCUAAGAGAAGGUUCAUCAUCUUCGUCUUCAUCAUUGCAUCCAGAAGCUGCCACUGCCAGUGCCACGUGCCUUGCAAGCCAUGAAAGAGUCUGACACCUGCAGACACAGGCGCGACUUAAAAUAGAACUUGUCAAACAGUGAUCCGCUCUGGAUGGAGCUCUGAACAACAAACAGCUCUUGAACUCACCUACCAGCCUAAGAAGGCUGCACUGAGUGACACUAUAGGUAGUUUGGUGGGAGCUACAAAUGCCACAUUUCAAAAAUCCCUUGCGAUCUUCAGGUCAUGGCUUCUCCAGCUCCCUGACUUCCCGGAGUGUUCCCAUCCCAAGUGUUUUCCUCCAGAAAACACUGGGCUCACCUAUGGAUUUAUUUUUAUCACUUAAAAAAUCAAGAUUGAAUCAUGAAUCACGCGUUUGACAGCCUUCUGUUCUAAAGAAGCAGCACCAGCAUACCUGAGGCCGAGGUGAGCAGAGCUCUGACCUCAAAGCAACAGAGAUGCAGCGGAAAUAGGAAUAUAAGGCCUUGGAAGGGAAGCCUAUGCAGUGUAUGUGGCCACCACAGAUGGCCCCAUGAAAUGAUGGUGUCAACGCGGAGCACUUUGUAAACUAUAAAAUGUUCUACAAAUAUGUGUUGUUAAAUAAAUGGGUCUCACCGAGAUGUUCUGAAAGUCCAGG
rnacentral:lncRNA from 1 species